rfam:Schistosoma curassoni strain Dakar, Senegal genome assembly, scaffold: SCTD_scaffold0006367
GAGAAUGUACGAAUGAUGGACACUUGGUAGAAAUGAAAAACAACAAUCCAUCAUGUGUGGACUCUUACUGUAAACAAGAUAGAGAAAUUCAAGGUGUUAGAAUUCCUAACAAAUAUUUGUCGGUAAGUGUAGCAGUAAAUAUGAUAUGUUUGCAUAACUUAUGUAGACAUACAUUUUCGUUCUUAGUUGGUGAGGUGAUUCGUCUGGUUAGUUCCGGUAACCAACGAGACUUUAAACUGCUAAAUAAUGAACUGUUCCUCUGUGUUUGUUUAGGGGGCGGCCUCUAUUUCUGUUUUAAGGAGUAGUGUGGCUGUGAUCCGACAGGUGCGGUACCAGCUUUCACUCCUCAGAGGGAUAAGCGGCACAUGUCGGUCACACGACAUUGAACAAAAACAGGUUUCUAGUGCCCCCAGAUAUUCAGGGCCAUUGGUAGGUUGCACAGGCUGUGCCAGAGAGUCUUGAAACCUGGCUCGAAAGGGUUGAGCAAACUACUUCAUCAUCGUCGUGACUGAGAUUCAGCCUGGCAACUGUUCCUCGUGAACGAGGCAUUCCUAAUAAGCGCAAGUCAUGAGCUUGCGCUGACUAUGUCCCUGCUUUUUUGUACACGCUCCCCGUUUCCACUUCUGAUUGAAUGGCUUAGUGAGGUUGUUGGAUUUAUGUCGUUGCAGUGGCUUUGCCAUCUAACUGAGAAGAUGACCUAAUUUGACUAUUUAGAGGCCAAAAAAAUUGUAACAAAGUUUCCUAAGGUGAAGCUGCAUAAG